GCUGGCGUAGCUCAGUUGGUAGAGCAUCUGAUUUGUAAUCAGAGGGUCGGGGGUUCAAAUCCCUCCGCCAGCUCCA
rnacentral:tRNA from 5 species